rnacentral:rRNA from 1 species
AAGUCGAGCGAACAGAUAAGGAGCUUGCUCCUUUGACGUUAGCGGCGGACGGGUGAGUAACACGUGGAUAACCUACCUAUAAGACUGGGAUAACUUCGGGAAACCGGAGCUAAUACCGGAUAACAUAUUGAACCGCAUGGUUCAAUAGUGAAAGGCGGCUUUGCUGUCACUUAUAGAUGGAUCCGCGCCGUAUUAGCUAGUUGGUAAGGUAACGGCUUACCAAGGCAACGAUACGUAGCCGACCUGAGAGGGUGAUCGGCCACACUGGAACUGAGACACGGUCCAGACUCCUACGGGAGGCAGCAGUAGGGAAUCUUCCGCAAUGGGCGAAAGCCUGACGGAGCAACGCCGCGUGAGUGAUGAAGGUCUUCGGAUCGUAAAACUCUGUUAUCAGGGAAGAACAAAUGUGUAAGUAACUGUGCACAUCUUGACGGUACCUGAUCAGAAAGCCACGGCUAACUACGUGCCAGCAGCCGCGGUAAUACGUAGGUGGCAAGCGUUAUCCGGAAUUAUUGGGCGUAAAGCGCGCGUAGGCGGUUUUUUAAGUCUGAUGUGAAAGCCCACGGCUCAACCGUGGAGGGUCAUUGGAAACUGGAAAACUUGAGUGCAGAAGAGGAAAGUGGAAUUCCAUGUGUAGCGGUGAAAUGCGCAGAGAUAUGGAGGAACACCAGUGGCGAAGGCGACUUUCUGGUCUGUAACUGACGCUGAUGUGCGAAAGCGUGGGGAUCAAACAGGAUUAGAUACCCUGGUAGUCCACGCCGUAAACGAUGAGUGCUAAGUGUUAGGGGGUUUCCGCCCCUUAGUGCUGCAGCUAACGCAUUAAGCACUCCGCCUGGGGAGUACGACCGCAAGGUUGAAACUCAAAGGAAUUGACGGGGACCCGCACAAGCGGUGGAGCAUGUGGUUUAAUUCGAAGCAACGCGAAGAACCUUACCAAAUCUUGACAUCCUUUGACCGCUCUAGAGAUAGAGUCUUCCCCUUCGGGGGACAAAGUGACAGGUGGUGCAUGGUUGUCGUCAGCUCGUGUCGUGAGAUGUUGGGUUAAGUCCCGCAACGAGCGCAACCCUUAAGCUUAGUUGCCAUCAUUAAGUUGGGCACUCUAAGUUGACUGCCGGUGACAAACCGGAGGAAGGUGGGGAUGACGUCAAAUCAUCAUGCCCCUUAUGAUUUGGGCUACACACGUGCUACAAUGGACAAUACAAAGGGC